UACAGAGGAGCCAAGCGUUGUCCGGAUUGACUGGGCGUAAAGCGCACGCAGGCGGGGGUGCGCGUGGGGUGUGAAAUCUGGCCGCUUAACGGCCAGGCGCCAUCCCAUACGGCACGCCUGGAGCCUUGCAGAGGUCGGUGGAAUUGCCGGUGUAGUGGUGAAAUGCGUAGAGAUCGGCAGGAACACCCAGGGGGAAACCAGUCGACUGGGCAGCACCUGACGCUGAGGUGCGAGAGCGUGGGGAGCGAACCGG
rnacentral:rRNA from 1 species